UCCGUUUCAUUUUUGUAUUAACUUAUACAUGUAGUGAAAGUUUACACAGAUAAUUAUUGUAAAGGAUGAAGAUAGUAUUCUUUCUGGUAUUACUUUGCAUUGUUACAUACUGCCAAGCAUCCGACAGACGAGAAGAACGAGUGGACUGGAGAGGCAGAAGAGAGGCAAAAAUUAAGGUGUCUUUUUCGCUGAACAAUUGUAACUGUGAUGGAUAUGAAAUGGGCGGACACGGGGCCGGUUCAAGACCAUUCCGAGUAGUUUGUCAGAAAGCUUCAAGCUCUUCAGGGAAAGAGAGUCAGAAGAGCCAAAAAAAGAAAAAAAUUAAAAAGAUUAAAGGGGAUACUUCUAAAUUCGAAGGAAAUCAGAAGAACAAAGGUGUUGAAUCUAAGAAAGAAACAAAUGACUGUACGUUUACAGGAAAUCCACAUGCGUGCAGCGAUUACAACAUCAAAGGGAACCAGGAGAAAUUUUAUAAAGAACUAAUUGCCAUAAUUGCUCCAAAUCAAUGUGGUAAUAUCAAUCUGCCUGGAGCGCCUUGUCCAAAAGGCCCAUUCAACACUAUAAAGAUGUGUAGUGAUAUUAAUUAUAUUUAGAAUUGAUAAUUUUAAAAUGCAUGAUUUUAAUUUUAUUUACUGGAAUAUCAUAAAUCCUAUAUUUUGUUUUUAAAGUACUAACAAAUAUUUUGCAAUACAGUCACGACAGUUAUGAUGUUUCAUAUGACAUCAAAUAUGAAAUUGAAGCCUACUAAAGCGUUUCCCCAAAAUACAGACAAAAAGAUAAAUACAUUCUCGUUUUAUACUAUGAUUUCCCAUUGCGAAAGAGGUUAAAAUAUCUGACUUUUGAUUGUUCAACUUUUCUAAACGAAAACUUACAAAAAAAAGGAAACACAUGUACAAAUUAUUAAAAUCGAACUAAUUUUAGGGGGGAGGAUUUCAUUUACAAAUUUAAAAUAAAAUUAAGCUAAAACAAAAAUGUGGAUGCAGGAUGUUAAUUUGUUUCUUAUGCUGCUUAUUGUAUCAAAAUCAUUAUAUUGUAUAAGAUACCAUCAGAUAGUUGUUCCAUUUGUUUUAUAGAUUAACAAGAAUUCACUUUUACAUUAAACAUGUGCUUACUUA